rnacentral:lncRNA from 1 species
AUGAUACUGAGGUACUAGGGAGCUGUGAAGCAUAUGCUGUGAGACAACACAGCUGAGCAGCCCAGCCAGAGCCCCCUGGGGAAGCCGUCAGAGGUCAGCAGCUCCCGUCUCCUUCCCUCUUGACUCCUAAUAGUCUAGGACAGAACUUUGCCCUCCCUUCUUCCUGUCCCAAAGAUGCACAAUGAUAAUGAUGCUGAUGGUUAUUUAGUAAGAAACUUCCCAACAGGAACAGUCAUCAGGAGGGGGCACAGUUGGAUUCUCUCCAGUGAAGAUGUCAGGAUGGACAGAAAUGUCAGCGUAAUCCAAAGAGGACACAAACACCCCUGCUAUUUUCUUGUCACCAGGAAAAGGCCAGCUCUAGGUCUACUGGGGUUCAUCCCAUCUGAGCCAGGCCUGGCUUUUCUUGGCUGCAAGCUGAGAGCUGGGUCCAGGUCUGCUGAACCAAGGUUCUCCCAUCUUCCUUGAGCCAGUGACAAUCAGAGGCCUAUUUCUUUCAUGACGGAAGGCAGGAGAACAAGCAGCUCCCGGCUCACCCACCCAGCAGCUCAGCACCUGCGAAAUCCGUCUCCCGAUGCACACUUGCUAACCGCGUGGGUGUGAGCACAACGAUGGGAAACAGCGGAAGUCCCCGGAGUGCAGACUCAGGAGUGAACCUGCCUGAAGAGUGGCGUCUAACGCACACACUGUGGUCAGCUCCACCCCACUAUGGGUCCCGGGAAUAGGAGCAAGUAUGUAUUUUGCUUGCAGGGCAGGUGUUUCAUCCACAUUAUUGCAGGAACAGAUGAAUUUAAUUAAAAGAACACCACAGUGGGCACCUCUUCCAGGGAUGUCUCCCUCUAAGAACAUGACACUGAGAUGAUCAAGGUUCUAAAAGGGCGAUCAAAUUACUCUCCGAAAAUGAAACUGCUCAGACAGAAUGACAAUUAAAUUAAUAACAACCAAGACAAUGCCCAGAUUUCAUCUCCGCUCACAGCCCCUCCUGUGUGCUGUAUGAUCAGGUUCUUGGGGUGGCUCCAGAUACAGCAAACAGUCAGGAUUAAUCCACAAGAGUGAGCUGUCAGCAUGAGGUUCCCCUACAGUGGAGCUUGCCAAGGUCCGUGCCUCCCAGGGCACCCGUUCCAGGGCUAACAGAUGAAGCAUGGAAAUGCUGUGUGGAGUGAGCUAAGCAGCCGUUCUCAGGAGAAAACAGACAAAUCCUCCUGCAUCCUGGCAAACCAGCUUUGUGGCCUGUUUUAUGUCAUCUUUGCUGAGCUCCACCGGGUCACCCCUCCUGUUGGCUUUGUGAUACUGACAUUUCAGGCACUGGCACAGAUACAUUGGCCUUCCUGGCUGGGAUUUCACGGACGGAGUGAGCAGUGCUGGCUUGGAGGAGCCGUGGCGGCACAGGGCCUGUGCUCUCAGCUGAUCAACGCCUUGAUAGCCAGGAAAGGCCUGUCCUACCCCAAAGGGCCCUCGCAGCACUGUUUGAAAUUGCUCUUGCCAUCUUUGGAAUGGAUUCCUCAGUACAUUUCAGACUCGUUGUUGUGACUUUGGUUUUAAUCCAGGGACACACCGUGGCCAGUGGAGUGUCUCAACAGCAUCUAUGAUCGCUGUUUCCCAGAGACAGCAUCUCAGAUACCGAUGCUGAAAGAGAAACAGCAGCCUGUCCCCAAGUGGCAGGAAAUAGUCCAUUUUAAUGGCAAUUUCAUAAGUGGCAGAUGAUUUUUAUUGUAAUUUUCUGGUGAGCUGAUUAAGUGGAGGCAGAGUCAGUUCUGAGGCGUCAAUGUCUUUAACAAUUCGGGGAGACGGAGGCCACGCUCAGCAGGAACACUGAGUCCAUGGAAAACAGGCCCUGGGCCCGCUGAUGUGCAUAAUUCCACGUUUGCCCCUCAUGUAACCAGGAUGGUAAAUUACAGGUGUCAGAUAAUCACGCUCUGGAGUGGCUACUUGAGGAUGCGAUCGACCAAUUUAAGCUCCGUCUGACACAUGAUCAAUAGCCCGUGAUGCUGCAUGGAAUUGCAGGCACAGUGUCCAAACCUGCAGAGCAGUGGCUCCCAGCUGGGGCAACUUUGCCCCCCAGAGGACAUUUGGCAAUGUCUGGAUAUGUUUGCAAUUGUCACAACUAGGAAAGGAGGUACCCAUAGGAUACACAGGAAAGUCCUCACACAGUUGUAUCCUGCCCAGACUGUCCGUAGAGCCAGGGUGAGAUGCUCUGACAGAGCCACAGUGAACAUUGCAUUCCAUCAUCUGGGUAUCUCCAGGAAUGUAUGUAGCUGGAUGUCUGGCUUUUCAUCUGGGUUUCACGAGCCUCCUGCAGAACUGAAACCAUGUGCAAAUCAGUUCUCAUACUUGCUCUCCUGCCUCCUUCCUAUUGUAAUUUUUUCUUCCCACCUUUUUUAUUGUUACUAGAGAAAUGAUGAAGAAAAAGAAUAGGCUGGAGAGUCACUCAAAAUUUUGUUUUCCUCAAUUAAAAAGAAGUAAUUUAGAAGUUACUCAAUGAUGUUUUCUUUAAUUAAAAAAAAAAGUAGUUUGGGAAAGCAGAAAAUUAAUGAAGACAGAAAACACAGGUUUCAUGAAAAAGUUCAGCAUCCCAGGAAAGGAGCAAAGAGAAGUCUGCAGAUGAGAGUUGCUCAGUGUCAGGACUCAGAAAACAAUACCCCAAGAUAAUGUUCAAACCUGAGUGCUUUGAACAAAGGAUAUUGAAAGACCUCAGAAGAGGGCCUCAGAACUCACAUGUCUCUCUGACCUUCUCCUGUCUCUCCUUCACUUCCAAAGCAUGAUCUUUGGCCAGGGGAUCUCUCUGGGAUUCCCUUAUCUGCCUGAGGGAUGUACUUCCAAAAGAAAUGUGACUGGCAUGACCUCCUCCCUAGGAAUCUCUUCAAACAGCCGGGAAAGACUGGUCACCUGAGAGGAGAUUGGAAGUCCUCACUGCACUCAGAAAGGCUGUUGUCCAUUCUUCUAGAGACUUUAUCUGAAUAACAAGGCAACUUUUGUUUACCAUUCAGUUCCUCCCCUUUCCUUUCUAACUUGUCACCACCUCCCCCAAAAGCCUCAAGCCUCCACUCCUACAAGCUAUAAAGACUUCAACCAUCUGGCUUCUC